rnacentral:sRNA from 1 species
GCUUUGUUCUUACUUUGUUUGUGUUACACUGGUAUCCAGUCAUCCAUUGGCACAGAGACACAGUUUCCACUUUGAUACAAUCUGUGUCAGCCUGGCAGUUAAUUUAUUUAGCAGCAUCUUAAAUUUUUUUUUUUUGCAUAAAAUCCAGCUCCUGCAGGAUAUUUAUCAGCAUCUUUGCAAGAGAGGAUGAAUUCAAAAUAAAGUACAAGAGAAGAAACAUUCAGUGAUCCUCAUGGAACACCUUUCCUGAAGAGAUGAUGAUGGGGCCAUUUGACAUGGGACACAGCAGGUGCUGGAAGAAGCACAUAUUUUUAGUGACAAAGACUGUGACUAUCCUGCCUCCUGGUUAUAAAGCAAAGCCAAACUGGAGAGAAGACCAGUGCCAGAGCCUUUAUUACUAAAAGAUAAUUGCCUUUGAUGAGUUAAGGACGGAUUUUAAGAGCCCCAUAGACCAGUGCAACCCUGUUCAUGCGAGGGAACGGCUGAGGAACAUCGAGCGCAUCUGCUUUCUUCUGCGAAAGCUGGUGCUGCCAGAAUACUCCAUCCAUAGCCUCUUCUGCAUUAUGUUCCUGUGUGCGCAAGAGUGGCUCACGCUGGGGCUGAAUGUCCCUCUACUUUUCUAUCACUUCUGGAGGUAUUUCCACUGUCCAGCAGAUAGCUCAGAACUAGCCUACGACCCACCGGUGGUCAUGAAUGCCGACACUUUGAGUUACUGUCAGAAGGAGGCCUGGUGUAAGCUGGCCUUCUAUCUCCUCUCCUUCUUCUACUACCUUUACUGCAUGAUCUA